GAUAAACGCUGGCGGCAGGCUUAAUACAUGCAAGUCGAACGGUAACAGGUCGAACCUAGUUUGAUGCUGACGAGUGGCGCACGGGUGAGUAACGCGUACACAAUCUACCUCCAAGUGGGGCAUAGUCUAGGGAAACUUAGAAUAAUUCCCCAUAGUAUUAUCGAAUCGCAUGGUUUGAUAAUUAAAGUUUCGGCGCUUGGAGAUGAGUGUGCGUCCUAUUAGCUAGAUGGUAAGGUAACGGCUUACCAUGGCUGUGAUAGGUAGGGGGCGUGAGAGCGUGGUCCCCCACACGGGUACUGAGACACGGACCCGACUCCUACGGGAGGCAGCAGUAAGGAAUAUUGGACAAAGGGCGAAAGCCUGAUCCAGCCAUGCCGCGUGCAGGAAGACGGCCCUACGGGUUGUAAACUGCUUUUAUAUGGGAAGAACAACUUCGACGUGUCGGAGCAUGACGGUACCAUAUGAAUAAGCACCGGCUAACUCCGUGCCAGCAGCCGCGGUAAUACGGAGGGUGCAAGCGUUAUCCGGAAUUACUGGGUUUAAAGGGUGCGUAGGCGGCUAUAUAAGUCAGAAGUGAAAGCUCUCGGCUUAACUGAGGAAUUGCUUUUGAUAC
rnacentral:rRNA from 1 species